rnacentral:rRNA from 1 species
UACGUAGGGGGCUAGCGUUGUCCGGAAUCAUUGGGCGUAAAGCGCGUGUAGGCGGUCCGGUAAGUCCGCUGUGAAAGUCGAGGGCUCAACCCUCGAAUGCCGGUGGAUACUGUCGGGCUUGAGUACGGGAGAGGCGAGUGGAAUUCCUGGUGUAGCGGUGAAAUGCGCAGAUAUCAGGAGGAACACCGAUUGCGAAGGCAGCUCGCUGGAAAGUUACUGACGCUGAGACGCGAAAGCGUGGGGAGCAAACAGG